CCGGGCCGGUGGGGCGGGGACCGCCUCUGAGGCCCUUUCCCCGGCGGCCUCCGGGACGUCGCCGAGCCUCCUGGAAGAGAAGGGUCUAUCAGACAAAGUUGCUAACCCUUGUUGAGGGCCGGGCGUUCACCCGCGAAGACGUUUAAUCUGCAUCUCAGUCGUGAGGGAGAGAUUGGCGUCCUGUUCACAGAGGAGGAAACAGGCCCCCAAAGGUAAUCAUUGUGCGGUUCAUCAGCAAUGAAAUCUUCUGAAAGCUAAGAGCAGAAGCCUUUUUGGUCAACAUGGAGGACAAAAGACGGCGAGCCCGCGUGCAGGGAGCCUGGGCCGGCUCAGCUAAGAGCCAGGCCGUUGCUCAGCCAGUAGGAGGUGAUGAGAGCAGACUUUUCUCUCUCUUGCUUCAGCUACCACUGCUAAGAGCCAUCUCCGCCAGAGCCCUGGUCAGACCUGGACGAACAAGGAGCAUCAUUUGUCAGACAAACAAUUUGUAUUUAAAGAACCCCAGCAGCAAAGAGGGUGUAUAUGAAAUUAGCCAGUCACCCACAGGCAUAUCUCGGUUGUGUUUGUAUCCUGGCUUUGUUGACUUAAGAGAAGCCGACUGGGUAUUGGAGCAGCUUUGUCGGGAAGUUCCCUGGAAACAGAGGACCGGCAUCAGAGAGGAUGUAACUUACCAGCAACCAAGACUCACAGCAUGGUAUGGAGAACUUCCUUACACUUACUCCAGAAUCACUAUGGAACCAAAUCCUCACUGGCACCCUGUGCUGCGCACACUUAAGAACCAAAUUGAGGAGAACACGGGCCACACCUUCAACUCCUUGCUCUGCAACCUUUACCGCAACGAGAAGGACAGUGUGGACUGGCACAGCGAUGAUGAACCCUCACUAGGGAGGUGCCCGGUCAUUGCUUCUCUCAGUUUUGGUGCCACGCGCACUUUUGAGAUGAGAAAGAAGCCCCCGCCAAAGCACCCCUGCAAUAAUGAGCAUAAACACGGUAUUGCAGCGAAAUCAAUCCUGCACUAACCCAGAGGUAGUCCCGUGCACCAGUGAAGCAGAGGAAUGGGUGGAUCAGCUCAGAAAAGAGAUGAAGAAAUCAGGAAGUGCGGGUCAGUCCCAGUCUCAACUCUGCGAGCAGGGAAGUUGUGCAAUGCACCCCAUCAGCUGUGCGGGAGGAGCAACACCACCUGUCGGCUGCUUCGCAGGCUGUGCCGUGGAGCUUCAUUGCGAUACCGGCCAUGCCUGCGCUUUCUGGAAGACAGGGCAAUGUAAAAUGCCAGGCGUCUGUGUCCCAAGUGUUCAGGAACCGUGGCCCACUUUCCAAGGCUUAAACAGCAAGUCUCAGUUUGCUAUGCUUUCUGGUCGAGCCAGAGCUCACUUCUCUGAGAAAAUGUCACUGUUGACUGUUCUGGGAAGAAACAGGACUAUGUCGCCAGAACACCGAAGGACUAGUUUUAACAUAGGAAGAGAAUGGAGACUACACAUAUGUGGAAAGAGUGAAGAUACCCUUGGAUCACGGGACCUUGCUAAUCAUGGAAGGAGCUACGCAAGCUGACUGGCAG